GAUGAACGCUAGCGGGAGGCUUAAUACAUGCAAGUCGAGGGGCAGCAUGACUGAACCUAGUUUAGUUGAUGGCGACCGGCGAACGGGUGAGUAACGCGUACGGAACUUACCUCCGAGCGAGGGAUAGCCCUGGGAAACUGGGAUUAAUACCUCAUGGUAUUCGAUAGUGGCAUCGCUAUUGGAUUAAAACUCCGGUGCUCGGAGAUAGUCGUGCGUCCUAUUAGUUAGUUGGUGAGGUAACGGCUCACCAAGGCAGCGAUAGGUAGGGGGCGUGAGAGCGUGACCCCCCACACGGGUACUGAGACACGGACCCGACUCCUACGGGAGGCAGCAGUAAGGAAUAUUGGACAAUGGGCGCAAGCCUGAUCCAGCCAUCCCGCGUGCAGGAUGACGGCCCUAUGGGUUGUAAACUGCUUUUAUAUGGGAAGAACUCCCCCGAUGCGUUGGGGGCUGACGGUACCAUACGAAUAAGCACCGGCUAAUUCCGUGCCAGCAGCCGCGGUAAUACGGAAGGUGCAAGCGUUAUCCGGAAUCACUGGGUUUAAAGGGUGCGUAGGCGGUUUAAUAAGUCAGAGGUGAAAGCUCACAGCUUAACUGUGGAAUUGCCUUUGAUACUGUUGAACUUGAAUCAGGUUGAGGUUGGCGGAAUGUGACAUGUAGCGGUGAAAUGCAUAGAUAUGUCAUAGAACACCAUUUGCGAAGGCAGCUAGCUGGACCUGCAUUGACGCUGAGGCACGAAAGCGUGGGGAGCGAACAGGAUUAGAUACCCUGGUAGUCCACGCCCUAAACGAUGCUUACUCGACGUGUGAAUCGCAGAUUUGCGCGUCCAAGGGAAACCGUUAAGUAAGCCACCUGGGGAGUACGUUCGCAAGAAUG
rnacentral:rRNA from 1 species